GACGAACGCUGGCGGUGUGCCUAACACAUGCAAGUCGAACGGCAACGCACUAAGAUUUUGGUCUGACGGGGGGGGGGUGGGGGGCGGGUGAGGAGAGCAUCGUAACCUACUCUUUCGUGGGGGAUAACGUAGGGAAACUUACGCUAAUACCGGAUACUCUCUACCGGUGAGAGGAUUGGAACUUUGGGGCUGUUGGGGCUGAAUGAGCCGAUGUCGGAUUAGCUAGUUGGCGGGGUGAAGGCCCAGCCAGGCGACGAUCCGGAGCUGGUCUGGGAGGAUGGUCAGCCACACUGGAACGGAGACACGGUCCAGACUCCUACGGGAGGCAGCAGAGGGGAAUAUGGGACAAUGGGCGCAAGCCUGAUCCAGCCAUACCGCGUGGGUGAAGAAGGCGUUCGGGUUGUAAAGCCCUUUUGUUGGGAAAGAAAAGCAGCAGGUUAAUACCACGCUGUUCUGACGGUACCCAAAGAAUAAGCACCGGCUAACUUCGUG
rnacentral:rRNA from 1 species